UGAUGGUUUUCAUUCAUGUUUCAUCAAACACAUCAUUUUCAAACCUGGAACCAAAAUUUUAGACUAUCAAACACAAAGGAAAACAAUAUCCAAUUUGAAGUGAAAUUUUGUUUUUAAAGUUUUAAUUCUACAAUCUAAUGUCACCCUUAGCUUCAUCCUCCUCUAGCUAACGAACGAGACUGGACCGCUCUCGGUUUGUUUGAUGUGGGCGGCGACCCAUCCAGGAUGUUGGAGAAGAGGGCUUCUCCUGCAUACAUCGCUGCACUUUUGACGGCUGCGUUGGAUAGUAGAAAGAUUUUGAUGUUAUCUAUGUGAUGAUGCUACCAUUGUUCAGUAGGAUUUUCUUGUGGGCCUGUGGCCAUCAGAAUGCAGAAAGGAACAUCGAAGAUAUGCAUCCACUCUCGCAGUUAAGGGCAUUGGGCGUCUCGUUCGCAAGCGCACCGGUGGGCGAUCUUUCCUUAGAUGAAGUGUCCAUUUUUGCGACGAUCUUGUCACGUGAUUUGGUUUGCGCCCCUCAAAUUUGCGAUGAUGCGUUAAUUGAAGAGCGUUACUGGGUUGAUUGAUUUGUGACCAUGUGUUACUAUCGUCAUUGACUAUUGAUUUUGGCAGUGGAAUUGUUGCGACGAUGUUUAGGGCCACAAGGUUCCUUGGCCGUUGUGUCAUACAACAGCCGUGGUUUUCAACAUUGUUUAGCAUGCAUGAUGCUGUUUUAAUGCCCCUUAUUUGGAUUGUUAAGGAAGAUAUCCGAUCAACUACAAAAACUGGUCGUUUAGGCUUGAUCAGUUACAAGGAACACCUUGAUCAUGCAGUUGUUGACAGAUAACCUUACUCUCUUGACUUCUAUUCUACCUGAAGAUGAAGAUUGUUUGAUGGAUUGUUUGGCAUUGCUGCAGAAAAUCAAGAGCAAUAAAGUAAAAGGUUGGCCUCCAGACAUGGGAGGCUGGAUUCAUUCGUGGUAGAGUUGUUUCUGCUUGAUCAAAUUUUCCUUUCUCGGUUGAGCUGCCCAUUGACGAGGGGUCAAAGAGCAGGCUGAAGUUUAAAGGAGAGGGUUCAAUUGGUUGGCUAACUGUUUUCAAGCUUCCAUCCUUUAUGCUGAUUCACUGGAAAAUGAAGGGUCUGAGGAGAAGAAGGGAUUCUAUGUAGUGAUCUCUCUCUUCUGCAUCACUUUUGUUCUGUCCAGCCAUGUCCCCUGCUCUGUUUCAGCACUGGUGCUCGUUGCUCUCGUUGAGACUUGUUCUCUGCCCUCCUUGUGUUUUUACAGCCAUGUCCCCUGCUUUGUUUCAGCAGUGGUGCUUGUUGCUCUCCUUCAAACUUUUAUGUGUGUGUGUGUGUGUGUUACGACACAAAAUGUACAGAUGCAUCAGAUUGCCUA